AACUUUUAACAAUGCAUCUCUUGGUUCCGGCAUCGAUGAAGAACGCAGCGAAAUGCGAUACGUAAUGUGAAUUGCAGAAUUCAGUGAAUCAUCGAGUCUUUGAACGCACAUUGCGCCCUCUGGUAUUCCGGAGGGCAUGCCUGUCCGAGCGUCAUUGCUGCCCUCAAGCACGGCUUGUGUGUUGGGCUCCGUCCCCCGAUCCCGGGGGACGGGCCCGAAAGGCAGCGGCGGCACCGCGUCCGGUCCUCGAGCGUAUGGGGCUUUGUCACCCGCUCUGUAGGCCCGGCCGGCGCCUGCCGAUCAACCAAAUUUUUAUCCAGGUUGACCUCGGAUCAGGUAGGGAUACCCGCUGAACUUAAGCAUAUCAAUAAGCGGAGGCU
rnacentral:misc_RNA from 1 species